rnacentral:rRNA from 1 species
AUCUGGAAGAAUCUGGAGACAGGUGCUGCAUGGCGUGUCGUCAGCUCGUGUCGUGAGAUGUUGGGUUAAGUCCCGCAACGAGCGCAACCCUUGCCUUUAGUUGCCAGCAGUUCGGCUGGGCACUCUAAAGGGACUGCCGGUGUUAAACCGGAGGAAGGUGGGGAUGACGUCAAGUCCUCAUGGCCUUUAUGACCAGGGCUACACACGUACUACAAUGGCCGAUACAAAGGGCAGCGACACUGCGAAGUGAAGCCAAUCCCGUAAAAUCGGUCUCAGUCCGGAUUGGAGUCUGCAACUCGACUCCAUGAAGUUGGAAUCGCUAGUAAUCGUGGAUCAGCAUGCCACGGUGAAUACGUUCCCGGGCCUU